rnacentral:lncRNA from 1 species
CUUCCCCCGACCCCAUUCAUUCAUGAUUCAUCUGAAUCAUCUCCAAUGGAUAACCCUAGCCGCCCUGAACCAUAGCCCCCCUGUCGCCAUCCUUCGUCCCCGCGGUCACAGGUCGUCAGCGCCACCGCCAUCGCCUGGACCUCAGCCCCAGUAACCCUCCAUCGUCGCCUGGUUCCCUGCCCAGUAGCCCUCCAUCUCCAUCGUCUUCAUCUUCUCAACACCAGCAAGCAGUAGCCCUCUCAUCGCGCGGUCCUCAACAGUCAACACCGGCAGCCCUCCAUCCCACAUUCAUUCGUCUCAGUCUCGUCUCGUGAACCCUAGCUCUGAAGCAUUCCUAAAUCCCAGCCCAGUAGCCACCGCCGUUGCCGGGGUUCUCAGGUCGUCAGCGCCACCGCGGUCGCCUAGUCUCUUGCUUCGUCUUCGCUGAC